UUUCAUUAAAGUAAUUUUAUCCUUAGAGUUUCCCACUUCUUCAUCUGCAUGGAUCCCGGAGUCUUUAGAAAUGGAGUUUGAUUAUACAUAUACAUAUUUAUACAUAUCUCCCAUUUAGGUCUAAGUACUUCAAAGUUUCUCAUUCUUUAUACAUUUUCCAGUUGUGAGUAUCUGUGCUCAUGACUAUCUACAACAAAAUGAAGCUCAUAAGAUGAUGGGUGUGUGACAUUCUGAUCUGUGAGUACAACAGAAUGUCCUUAAGAGUCAUUUCAUUACUAUAUUCUCUGUAUUUCUGAAUUUGCUCAUUGUGCCUUUCAUUUAUAAGUUCAUUAGGGAUACUACUCACAUAUCCCCAUCCAAAAUAAACAAGAACCACAUAUAUAAUUACUAUUGUUAAUUAUUAAUUUUAUUAUAUGUUAUUAAUGUUAUUAAUAUUUUUCUCGUAUAAUUACAUCUGAUGCAGGAUAAAAUUGAAAGGAAUACAGAGAUAAAAUCAAGAUCACAGACUAAGAUGGUCCAGACCCUUAUAUCUUACACUUAGACAUGAAUUGGAUAAUAGAAUAUAAAUUUCCUGAGAAGUUCAGAAAUGAUAAGUAGCUUCUUCACCUCAGAACACUAUGAAGUCAAGCACAUCAUUAUUUUCACCCUUGAUUAUUUCUCCAUGUGGCAGAAAAAUAAUGAGCUCCAGGACUUUCGUUAGGAAAAGAAAGAAAACACUGUCCAAAAUAUAGGGAGAUUGCCCAUUAGAUUGUUCUCCUUCUCAUCACCAGCGUAAUAUUCAUAAGACCUAGAAUAUUCCACAUUCCUGGGUUUUGUUAAAAGCCAAAAGUUAUCAGAUGGCAUCUUAUUAUUUCCAAGGAACCAUGGUAUAACAGACCAUAUAGAAUUUAGUGAGUUCUUCUUCUGCAGGAAAAGGAAGAGUGGAAUAUACAUAUGUCCAGCAUUUGAGUUUUUCAGAGACUUGUUGAUAAACGGGAGUCUGUCUUGUCUGUCUCAGGAUGUGGUCAGGGUUUGGCCUAUAUUCCAGCUUAUAACCUGCUGGGAAAUAAAGGAACUGGGUGUAUAGUGUGCAUUUGUUUCAAUGAAACUGCAGUGUAGCUGAUAGACACCAGAGGGAGUUAGAGAUCAUGGGCAUGUGAAGACAAGUAACAAGAAUAUGCUUCU
rnacentral:lncRNA from 1 species